AAGGACGUCAUGGAGGAGAAUCGUGGGAUCGUGGCCUCUCUUGGCACAGUCUCUCCAUUCUUCGAUCAUCACUUGCGCUUGUGCACCUUUUCCUGCCUUUACCAGUCUGAUUUUGGAGUGACCGAGUCUCUUAUCUUCGGGACAAGGGCCAAAUAUGGCGCCCAGCAGGCUUCUUCUGUGCACACAGCACUCUGCUUAUCACAGCAAUGUCCUCUGCCUCUCUCUGGACGUUUUGCAGAGCGAUACACAGCAGUGAAAUACUGCUGCAGUGUGGGGACCAUAAAUCAGGCUGGCACGUAGACUUGUCUUAUCUCAAAACGCUUUUAUUAGGGUAGCAUAACAUCGUAAAUCCGUCUCAAGCUCCCGGAGAUGACCCGCACAUCCUCCCUCUGACUCCGAGCGGAAGAGAAGAACACACGCAGAGAAACCACUCCCAUACGUGUGAAACGUAAUCACGCCUCAUGAUGCAAGACGUCACACACAGAACCUCUUAACCCUAUUGUGAUGAAUUGGAAAUCGAGAACAAAGGUGAACACGACAAAAUCCCCAGAGAGGAGAAGCCAUGCAAAAAUUUGGAGUGUGGAG